rnacentral:rRNA from 1 species
AUUGAACGCUGGCGGCAGGCUUAACACAUGCAAGUCGAGCGGUAACAGAGAGAAGCUUGCUUCUCUGCUGACGAGCGGCGGACGGGUGAGUAAUGCCUAGGAAUCUGCCUAGUAGUGGGGGAUAACUUGCCGAAAGGUAAGCUAAUACCGCAUACGUCCUACGGGAGAAAGGAGGGGACCUUCGGACCUUUCGCUAUUAGAUGAGCCUAGGUCGGAUUAGUUAGUUGGUGAGGUAAUGGCUCACCAAGACCGCGAUCCGUAACUGGUCUGAGAGGAUGAUCAGUCACACUGGAACUGAGACACGGUCCAGACUCCUACGGGAGGCAGCAGUGGGGAAUAUUGGACAAUGGGGGGAACCCUGAUCCAGCCAUGCCGCGUGUGUGAAGAAGGUCUAGGAUUGUAAAGCACUUUAAGUUGGGAGGAAGAGCAGUUAACUAAUAUUUGACUGUUUUGACGUUACCGACAGAAUAAGCACCGGCUAACUUCGUGCCAGCGGCCGCCGUAA